CCCUUAGAUGUUCUGGGCCGCACGCGCGCUACACUGAUGCAUUCAACGAGCCUAUCCUUGACCGACAGGUCCGGGUAAUCUUUGAAUCUGCAUCGUGACGGGGAUAGAUUAUUGCAAUUAUUAAUCUUCAACGAGGAAUGCCUAGUAGGCGCAAGUCAUCAGCUUGCGUCGAUUACGUCCCUGCCCUUUGUACACACCGCCCGUCGCUCCUACCGAUUGAAUGGUCCGGUGAAGCGUUCGGACCGUGGCCUUUGGACGGUUCGCCGUCUGUUGGCUGCGGGAAGUUCGUUAAACCUUAUCAUUUAGAGGAAGGAGAAGUCGUAACA
rnacentral:rRNA from 1 species